UGAAAGGAAGCCAGUGUGGCUGAAGAGCCGUCAUUGAGGAGGAGAGCACAGGAGAUGAGGUCAGAGGAGGAAGGCAAGAUCACGCAGGUCUCGGAGACCAGGCCAGGAGCUGGAUUUAUGACACUACAAUGAUGCCUAAUGUGCCAAUAUCCAUAGGAACCUGUCUCCAGGAUCACUGUACCUGUGAAUGAAGUGCAGCUGCUCCAGGUAGACACAGCCUUUUGAAAUAUCCACACACAGGUCUACAAGGUCAACCAAUGUUGGAAUCAUGUCGGAAAUUUCAAGAAAAUGCUGACUUCUGGGUCCCACCUCAGAGAUCCUGACUGAACUGGCCUGAGGGGAAACCUGGACCCAGAGAUUCCAAAAGCUCCAGUGUGCACGAGGCUGAGAACCAUGUCUUUGGUGCAUGUUAAUCUAUGUGAAGACAAGAUACAUUGACUCUCACAGCAAUGUCUGGUGCUACAGCCCAGUCUUAGUCAGCCAAUGAUCCAAGCUGCCUCUGAACCAGCUCUCUUUAGAAAUGUGUAAAAAAGAUAAAAACAGACAAAAUAAAAGAAGUAAUAAGAAUCUGCUGUAUUUUCAGGCAAAGUACACUAUGUUGACCUCAAGUAGGAGAUGGUCAAUUUCACUUUUUGACUUGGUUAAAUAAUUAGCACAAAGCAAAAUAUAGGAUACACAUACAUGAUUUCAUCACAAGGACAACUAAAACAUCAGUGCCCAUGUUGCCAAGAAUUAUGCCAAUUCAUUUAUUCACUCGAGAAAUAUCUAGUGAAUGUCUAUAUAAUGUCAAGUACUAUCCUGGGUACUAGUAAUACAGUGAUAAAUCAAAGCAUAGCCCCUACAUAAUGGGACAUUUCACAAAAUACUGGAAAUCACAAAAAAUAUACAAUUUUUAUAUUAGAUAUAUGCUGUGGAGGACAGAAGUAUAUGGCGCUGUUCUCUCUGUCAAAUGCAUUUCUUACCCCUCAAACAUAGUCUGCUAGGUGGGCCAUAAAAUCACAUAUGCAUUACUUUCUAGGGAUAAUUACAUAACCAGGAAGGACAGAAAAUCCAGAUUUUUCAAGGGCACUCAGGAAAUUAUUACUGUUGGCGAUCUACCAACUGGUCAGUUAAUAAAGUUUGUUGAAGCAUAACUUAUUCCCAGACAAGAAGACUAGACACAAUAUGUUUUGAUGAAUCAGCUAUAACAGGUUGCAUAAUAGCACAUCCCAGAAAAUGAUAUAGAAAAUACUAUGACUAAGAAUGUCAUACCAAAAAAAGAGUAUCUUGUAAAAAGACAAAGACCACCAGCUCCAAUCUUACCAGCAUUCUAGAUUUUGAUUCAGAACCAUUUUUGCCAUCAUUAACUUCUUUGUAAUAAACCAGGUAU